rnacentral:lncRNA from 1 species
AAGUUGGCCCUGCUCUGCCUCCCCACCAGAAACCUCCUAAGCUUUUCGAGUGGGAGUUCAGCUUCUCUCCUUCCUUUACAGGUCUGGCUCGCGCGCCAAGAAGCGGCAGCAACGACACAUGUCUUACAUUAGAAAACCUUAUCAGGCUCUGAGCACGGCUUCGCAUUUCCUGUUCAUACCCUUCUUCUGACAUACUGUGAUGCCACCGAGUUACAGUCAGCGAGAGUGUUCUAUUUUUAAAAGAACUUCAGAGUUCCCACCAGCUCCUCCACAGAAAAGCAUUUUUACGUAAGAGCGAGCGGAAGAGAACUCGGAGAGAUGGGAGCGGAGGCCAGGCAUUUGUUUUCUCUCUAAGGCCUCUCCCAUCAGGCUUUCUUAAAUUAAUGUACAGCUCCGGCGUCUGAUGGGCCCUGGUCGGGCUGCUGGGUUCUCCUGUGGGGGCGGGGGGGGGGGGACAGGGGGAGAGGGGGGAGGAGGAGGAAAUGACUUCAGAGCAUUUCUGCAGCCCAAAGGAACAGCCCAGAUAAAGAACUACACGGGGCAUUUUCUAGAACUUCAGAUCAAAGCCUGGGAGCUAAAAGGGCCUCCCUGGGGGGCCUUGGAGCCCAGCUCCUUCAUUUUACAGAGGAGGACGUCCCCCAGGGAAUGUGUAGCAGAGCCAGAAUUGGAACCUAGGUCCUCUGGCUUCAGAACUGGCCCUCGCUGGCCUGCCAAGCCCAUUUCUUCUUCGCUGCCACCCUCUGAGACAGGUGUCUGCGAGGACUCAGGAGGUGCGGAUACCUGUUGCCUGGGCCAGAGCAGCUGUUUCCUGGCUUCCCUCAGCCUCGUGCCAAUUUAUUUGUGAUUUCUGUGGCUAGUGAUGGACAAGGAUGGAGUAAGGAUAACUGGAGAGUGCAAAGGGCAGAUCUAUGGUCACUGGAAACUCUGCCUAGGUCUCUGGUGGGAAUGAGAGCCCCAGUCCGGCCAGGUUCAAGUGCAGCCAAGUGUUGGGAGGGGGCUCCCACCCUCCCACCUUCCUGCAGCCAUGAACCCAGUGAGCUUCAGAAUUGCCUUAAGGGAAGGAGAUUUUGGCCAAGAGAGACACACGGUCUUGGGUCUGAAGGAUCCUUUUAAAGCCCCCCCAAGACAAUUAACGGUCAGGCCCAGGACCCAGAACCCCAGGAUCUGCCCAAGAAGGCUCCCCCAAUCUCUGGGAGAAGCCCCUGGUCCACAGCCAGGAAGGGGAGGGCUGGGAACCAAAGAGUCCUGGCCCAGAGAAACCCCGCCAAAGGAGAGCCCCCUUAUCUCCUGGCUCCCUGGGAUCCCAUGGCCCUGGCCACUUUGGGAGGGAGGAAUUCCAGUCAAUGCUCCCUGAGAAUUCACUUUAAUGUCUCCUUCCCCACCCCCACAGGGGGUCGCCUUUAUCUCAGAAGGCAAAUGCAGCCCUGUCCCAGGCCCUCCUGCCUUCUCCCCCUCUGCCCUGGAUCUGGCCUUUCUGAAGAAUCCUUGUAAGUGUUGGGACGUCAGCCUCUCCGAGGAGUUCCUGGAAUGUCUAUCCUGAGGCUCAUUCUCCUUGUUAACAAGGGGCCCAGAGGGCCAGAAGCUGGAGGCUGGGGGUGGAAGCUGUGCAGGAGGAUGGACACUUGCCAAAGUCAGCCAGGCUUGGGAAGAAACCAGCCCAAUCCCACUGAAGCCCUCUGUGGCCAGAACUUCCUCCCCAGCCAGGGGUCUGAUCCCUCCCAUCUGUGUGACCUCCAGGCCUCAGUUUCCUUGUCUGUAAAAUAAAGGGUCUAGACUCAGAAAUCCCUAAGGUCCC